rnacentral:rRNA from 1 species
ACAACCCGAGAGAUCGGGCGGUUCCCCCUUCGGGGGGACAGGGUGACAGGUGGUGCAUGGUUGUCGUCAGCUCGUGUCGUGAGAUGUUGGGUUAAGUCCCGCAACGAGCGCAACCCUCGACCUUAGUUGCCAGCAUUCAGUUGGGCACUCUAAGGUGACUGCCGGCUAAAAGUCGGAGGAAGGUGGGGAUGACGUCAAAUCAUCAUGCCCCUUAUGACCUGGGCUACACACGUGCUACAAUGGGCGGUACAAAGGGUCGCGAACCCGCGAGGGGGAGCCAAUCCCAAAAAGCCGCUCUCAGUUCGGAUUGCAGGCUGCAACUCGCCUGCAUGAAGCCGGAAUCGCUAGUAAUCGCGGAUCAGCAUGCCGCGGUGAAUACGUUCCCGGGCCUU